rnacentral:lncRNA from 1 species
AUGACAGGAAAGCUCCCUCCAAUAUCUCAAUUUCCACCCCACCCAGUACCUGGUUCUAUGAUUCCACACCCUCCUAAUCCAUCCUGCCCUCCUAAUCCAUCCCACUCUCUCCCCAGGCCCCAGCCCUGCCAUCCCCAACCAGACCUAACGGUUCACAAGUCUCAUCUUGGAGAUGGUUUCCCUGCUCCUCGGGCAGUUCUGGAACAGUUCAGGAUGGCCAGGACUGUGGAUUCCCAGCAGUCUGACCUGGUGGACAAAGGAAAUGCAAGACAAUGGCAAACCAGCAUUCAGCCUCAUCUUCUCCUUUCCUCCCCUGCCUCAUCAGCCAGCCUGCAUGAGCCUCUACAUUUGUUCCUGGCUUCUUCAUGGAACUUGGUCUACAGCCACAAAGCAAACCACAGGGCCAGUGACAGAGAAGGCAGAGGGGAGUGUGGAGUGGGAAGCACCUAACCUGUUCUCAAGGAGGGGAAUGAUUGGCCAAGAUGAGCUUCAAUCGUAUGUCCACUACCUCCUGGCCUGACACUUGGCUGUGAGUCCUUUCUGGGCAGUGUCCAGGGGCGGUUCCAGUGACCAGGCAGGUGCUGAGAAGCACAGGCAGGUGAGUUAAGCAUUGGAAGGAGGUGGGUGUGAAAUAAGAUCCUGAGAGGUGGAGGGGACUAGGCAGGGUGGGUGGCGGCAGGGGAAUGGGUGACAACACCAAGAUCUACUCCAGCAGGAUGAGGGGACACUUGCCAGGAGACAGCGUGGGAUGCCAUUGCCUAGAGUUGGCAGAAGGACCAGGAGCAGGCAGGCAGCGAGAGGGCACCCAGAGUGCUCCUGAUCGGACCAAGCUGCAUGGAGGCCACAGUGGGACACCUGAGGGAAAAUGUGACCCCAGAUGAGGUUCAUCAGAACCAGAUAUUGUGUGAACUGUCAAACUAGACCAAGAAGCAUGGAGGCUACAGAGGGACACCCCAGGGAGGUGACCCUGGAUGAGAUUCAUCAGAACUAGAUCUUGUGAGAACUGCCUGACCAGACCAAGCAGCACGGAGGCCACGGUGAGACACAUGAGGGAGAAGGCGAACCCAGAUAAGGUUCAUCGGGAACAGAUCUUGUGGGAACUGCAGAAGGUGACCACAGAUGAGGCUCAUCAGGAACAGAUCUUGUGGGAACCGGAGAGGACAACCCCAGAUGAGGUCCAUCAGAACCAGAUCUUGAGGAAACUGCACUUCAAAGUGCUACAGACCCACAAACAGUACAUGCAGUAUCACAUGAAUGCCCUCUGCAAGGGUGAGAGGCCUGGCAGGAUGGAGGAAAUACCAGAGAUGGGGGAUGCGCCCUGAAAAAAAGGAGAGCCCUGGGGACUGUGGAAAGUGGGGUGUGGGGCUCAUUAAAGGAGAAGAUACCUUCUCACACCCUACCCCUUUUAUAGACUUUAGGAGCAAUGUCUUUGGAGGGGGCCUCACCUACAUCACAUCAGAUGCAUUAAAUAUAUUAAAAAGCAUUCAAAUCUCAUGAAACAUU